rnacentral:tRNA from 2 species
GCGGAUGUGGUGGAAUUGGUAGACACGCUAUCUUGAGGGGGUAGUGCCGUAAGGCGUGAGAGUUCGAGUCUCUCCAUCCGCACCA